UGCCAAGAUGUGGGGUCCUUCAUUACCA
rnacentral:piRNA from 1 species